rnacentral:rRNA from 1 species
AGACGGAGGGGGCUAGCGUUGUUCGGAAUGACUGGGCGUAAAGGGCGCGUAGGCGGCUUAUCAAGUCAGGUGUGAAAGCCUUGGGCUUAACCCAAGAAUUGCGCUUGAUACUGAUAAGCUAGAGGAUGAUAGAGGAAAGCGGAAUUCCUAGUGUAGAGGUGAAAUUCGUAGAUAUUAGGAAGAACACCAGAGGCGAAGGCGGCUUUCUGGAUCAUAUCUGACGCUGAGGCGCGAAAGCGUGGGGAGC